AGUGAACGCUGGCGGUAGGCCUAACACAUGCGAGCCGAACGGCAGCACAGUAAGAGCUUGCUCUUACGGGUGGCGAGUGGCGGACGGGUGAGGAAUACAUCGGAAUCUACUUUUUCGUGGGGGAUAACGUGGGGAAACUUACGCUAAUACCGCAUACGACCUACGGGUGAAAGCAGGGGAUCUUCGGACCUUGCGCGAUUGAAUGAGCCGAUGUCGGAUUAGCUAGUUGGCGGGGUAAAGGCCCACCAAGGCGACGAUCCGUAGCUGGUCUGAGAGGAUGAUCAGCCACACUGGAACUGAGACACGGUCCAGACUCCUACGGGAGGCAGCAGUGGGGAAUAUUGGACAAUGGGCGCAAGCCUGAUCCAGCCAUACCGCGUGGGUGAAGAAGGCCUUCGGGUUGUAAAGCCCUUUUGUUGGGAAAGAAAAGCAGCAGGUUAAUACCCCGCUGUUCUGACGGUACCCAAAGAAUAAGCACCGGCUAACUUCGUG
rnacentral:rRNA from 1 species